GACGAACGCUGGCGGCGUGCUUAACACAUGCAAGUCGAACGGUAAGGCCCUUCGGGGUACACGAGUGGCGAACGGGUGAGUAACACGUGGGUGAUCUGCCCUGCACUUCGGGAUAAGCCUGGGAAACUGGGUCUAAUACCGGAUAGGACUCCGGACUGCAUGGUCUGGGGUGGAAAGCUUUUGCGGUGUGGGAUGGGCCCGCGGCCUAUCAGCUUGUUGGUGGGGUGAUGGCCUACCAAGGCGACGACGGGUAGCCGGCCUGAGAGGGUGACCGGCCGCACUGGGACUGAGAUACGGCCCAGACUCCUACGGGGGGCAGCAGUGGGGAAUAUUGCACAAUGGGCGCAAGCCUGAUGCAGCGACGCCGCGUGAGGGAUGACGGCCUUCGGGUUGUAAACCUCUUUCAGCAUCGACGAAGCGAAAGUGACGGUAGGUGCAGAAGAAGGACCGGCCAACUACGUGCCAGCAGCCGCAGUAA
rnacentral:rRNA from 1 species